rnacentral:rRNA from 1 species
UACGUAGGGUGCAAGCGUUGUCCGGAAUUAUUGGGCGUAAAGAGCUCGUAGGCGGUCUGUCGCGUCUGCUGUGAAAACUCAGGGCUUAACCCUGAGCUUGCAGUGGGUACGGGCAGACUGGAGUGCGGUAGGGGAGACUGGAAUUCCUGGUGUAGCGGUGAAAUGCGCAGAUAUCAGGAGGAACACCGGUGGCGAAGGCGGGUCUCUGGGCCGAAACUGACGCUGAGGAGCGAAAGCGUGGGGAGCAAACAGG